rnacentral:misc_RNA from 1 species
GAUGAAGAAUGUAGCGAAAUGCGAUACUUGGUGUGAAUUGCAGAAUCCCGCGAAUCAUCGAGUUUUUGAACGCAAGUUGCGCCCGAAGCCAUUCGGCCGAGGGCACGUCUGCCUGGGUGUCACGCAUCGUUGCCCCCCCAAACUCCGGUUCGGGCGGGGCGGAAGUUGGCCUCCCGUGCGUGCCUGCGCGCGCGGUUAGCCCAAAAGCGAGUCCUCGGCGACGAGCGCCACGACAAUCGGUGGUUUUUUUACCCUCGUUCCUCGUCGUGCGUGUCCCGUCGCCCGAACGCGCUCUUGUGACCCUCACGCGUCGCCUCGGCGGCGCUCCCAACGCGACCCCAGGUCAGGCGGGACUACCCGCUGAGUUUAAGCAUAUCAAUAAGCGGAGGA